rnacentral:misc_RNA from 1 species
UCACCCUUCAAGCUUUGCUUGGUGUUGGGGCAUGCCAUCACAGGCAGCCCUUAAAAUCAGUGGCAGUAACCAUUAGGCUCUAAGCGUAGUAAUUCUUCUCGCUAUAGCGUCUGGUGGUCGCGCGCCAAAACCCCCCAUUUUUCAU